GAAAAAAAGAAGAAAGUGAUGAGGCGUUGUCUUGUUUCUCCCUCUUCCUAUCAUCGCAACCCAUGUUUCUUUUCAUUUCAAUGAACGCAAUAUUUCAACAACAGCGGGCUAAGUGUUUUUUCCCCAAAUUUUCAUUUUCGCAAUAUCAGUGCAAAUUCUCAAAAUUUUCUAUACUCCUAUCGAUUGUACCUUCAAUUCAUUCCUUCUUCAAUGAGUUUUCACGCUCGUCCAUCAAUCGCGACCUACAAAACUUUCAAAACCCUCAUAAUCGUCCGGUUCUUCUCUACUCAGUACUCACGAACCAAGAACCUGUUCUUGUUCUUCUCUAUUCCUUUCCUAUUUCCAAAUUUCUCUAACGCGACGCAAGAAUCCCUUCAAGACUCAUAAACGCUCGAAACCCUAAAGUUUUGAAACGCGACGAAGGUACUUGCGAUUCACAAGAAAAAAGAACACAAUUAUGGUGCAGUUGCAGAGGCAUAUUUCCUCGAUUCUUCGUUGUAAUCUUAAGAGAGUGGAGCAUACCAAUAGUUCGGCUACAAACCUUGUAAUCUAUCGCUUUGGUUCUUCUCUUUCACAAGGAAGAACGUUCUGAGAUUAAUCUACUGGAUCCAACACAAUAUAAAGUAACUCAUCCAAGUUGCUUUCUUUUUCAAAGUCCCAUCUUAGAACGCUUAGGCCUAAUGUUUGCUUCAUCUCAAACUGGUGCAGCGGUUGUAGAGAAUAUGGAAACAAAUAUUUUGGGGUUUUUGGGCUUGGUAUUUUGAGCAAUUUUUGUUUAGGAAUUCAGAGCUAAAAAUUGAAUCAAAAAAUCUUUGAUAGUGAUUCUCAUAUGGGAAAAAUAAAGAGUGGUCAAAAGGAUGAGGUAUGGUUGAAAAAUCUCCAAGAACUCUUGUAGAAGCUUUGUGAAGGAGUGAGAUCAACACCAAUUUCUUUACUCGAGUCAAAAUGCAGUGAUGCAUGGAUUAAGGUCCACAAAGGGAAUGGACUUAGACUAAGAUUCAGUACGCUCAACAAGAGGUCUUUUUCCUUUGGCAGUUGUUACCGUAGCAGCAAGAACGUUCUCAGAUUGUACUCCUUGAAAAAUCUCAGUUUCAACAUCAAUUAUCUCAUGUAAUGAAUGUUCUUUAUAUUAAAGGUGGUGCUGGCAUUCAAACCA